UCACUAGACAGGGCUGAGGCUCUUGCCCAUGACUGCAGAGCAGAAAGCACAGUGCGGUGGAAGGCACUGUCAGGGGUGGGGGCUGAGCAGCCCUGCUCCAGGGAUCAUAGGCUGGCAGGCACUCAGGUGGUGUAGACCUGUCUGUUAAUCCCAGUCACACUGUGCCUGCUUCAGCACCAAGUAUCACCUGCUAGUCCAGUGUUGGCGUCCCGCCUCCACACAGGAGCUGGGUCUCACGGAAGGCACUAAAGAAGCACACAAAGACAACUUUCUCAGGUACAGACAAGUCUCCAGGCUUGAGGUUGUAUCCCCCCCCCCUCAGCUUGAGACUGUACACUUUCACUCUCUCCUCAGGCUAGAGGUUGUGUUCUCUCACUCGCUCCCUUUCUCUCACUCACACACUCCAUGUGCUCUCCUUCCGCUCACACACACUUCACACACACCUCACAUGCGUUCUACUCACACAUACACACCAUACACUCUCUCCUCUCUCCUUGUCUCUAACUUGCCCCAGUCUUUUAUUAAUAGUCCAAAAAGCAGGAAGAAAAAAAACGACAUGCAU
rnacentral:lncRNA from 1 species